GCCUGGAUAGCUCAGUUGGUGAGAGCGUGGUGCUGAUAAUGCCAAGGUUGCAGGUUCGAUUCCUGCCUUGCAGGGG